GGGUUGUUAGCUCAGUUGGUAGAGCAGCGGACUCUUAAUCCGUUGGUCGAGAGUUCGAGCCUCUCACAGCCCACCA
rnacentral:tRNA from 2 species